rnacentral:rRNA from 1 species
AUGAACGCUAGCUACAGGCUUAACACAUGCAAGUCGAGGGGCAGCAUGAACUUAGCUUGCUAAGUUUGAUGGCGACCGGCGCACGGGUGAGUAACACGUAUCCAACCUUCCGUUUACUCAGGGAUAGCCUUUCGAAAGAAAGAUUAAUACCUGAUAGUAUGGUGAGAUUGCAUGAUAGCACCAUUAAAGAUUUAUUGGUAAACGAUGGGGAUGCGUUCCAUUAGGUAGUAGGCGGGGUAACGGCCCACCUAGCCGACGAUGGAUAGGGGUUCUGAGAGGAAGGUCCCCCACAUUGGAACUGAGACACGGUCCAAACUCCUACGGGAGGCAGCAGUGAGGAAUAUUGGUCAAUGGGCGAGAGCCUGAACCAGCCAAGUAGCGUGAAGGAUGAAGGUCCUACGGAUUGUAAACUUCUUUUAUACGGGAAUAAAGUUUCCUACGUGUAGGAUUUUGUAUGUACCGUAUGAAUAAGCAUCGGCUAACUCCGUGCCAGCAGCCGCGGUAAUACGGAGGAUGCGAGCGUUAUCCGGAUUUAUUGGGUUUAAAGGGAGCGCAGACGGGAGAUUAAGUCAGUUGUGAAAGUUUGCGGCUCAACCGUAAAAUUGCAGUUGAUACUGGUUUCCUUGAGUGCAGUUGAGGCAGGCGGAAUUCGUGGUGUAGCGGUGAAAUGCUUAGAUAUCACGAAGAACCCCGAUUGCGAAGGCAGCUUGCUAAACUGUAACUGACGUUCAUGCUCGAAAGUGUGGGUAUCAAACAGGAUUAGAUACCCUGGUAGUCCACGCCGUAAACGAUGAGUGCUAAGUGUUAGGGGGUUUCCGCCCCUUAGUGCUGCAGCUAACGCAUUAAGCACUCCGCCUGGGGAGUACGGUCGCAAGACUGAAACUCAAAGGAAUUGACGGGGGCCCGCACAAGCAGUGGAGUAUGUGGUUUAAUUCGACGCAACGCGAAGAACCUUACCAGGUCUUGACAUCCGAUGCAUAGCACAGAGAUGUGUGAAAUCCUUCGGGACAUCGAGACAGGUGGUGCAUGGUUGUCGUCAGCUCGUGUCGUGAGAUGUUGGGUUAAGUCCCGCAACGAGCGCAACCCUCGUGGUCAGUUACUAACAGGUUAAGCUGAGGACUCUGGCCAGACUGCCAUCGUAAGAUGUGAGGAAGGUGGGGAUGACGUCAAAUCAGCACGGCCCUUACGUCCGGGGCUACACACGUGUUACAAUGGGAGGUACAGAAGGCCGCUACCCGGCGACGGGAUGCCAAUCCCCAAAACCUCUCUCAGUUCGGACUGGAGUCUGCAACCCGACUCCACGAAGCUGGAUUCGCUAGUAAUCGCGCAUCAGCCACGGCGCGGUGAAUACGUUCCCGGGCCUUGUACACACCGCCCGUCAAGCCAUGAAAGCCGGGGGUACCUGAAGUGCGUAACCGCAAGGAGCGCCCUAGGGUAAAACCGGUAAUUGGGGCU